rnacentral:lncRNA from 1 species
AGAGUUUUGUGGAUCAAGGUGUAAUAUCAGAGCUGAUUAUUGCAUUUUCAAGGGAAGGACCCCAGAAAGAGUAUGUUCAACAUAAAAUGCUGGAAAAGGUAAGUGUGCUGAUAAAAUAAGACUUGAGCGCUGUUGUAAAAAGCUAAGUGAUUCUAAUGCAACUUAUGACGUAUGAGCAGGCGUCCCAUGUUUGGAGUUUAAUCUCCCAGGAGGGAUAUCUAUAUGUAUGUGGGGAUGCGAAAGGGAUGGCCAGGGAUGUACAUCGUACACUCCAUACCAUAGUCCAGGAGCAGGUAUAUGGCUUUAUUCAUCUGCUGGACCUGAAUACAUCAUUUGCUGUAAAAUCCAGCUAUUUUAUCAGUCUGUUAAAUGGUGGAUGAUUUGAUAUCUGAUUGUCCUGAUAGGCAGGAACUUAUGUUCUUAUUGCUUUUGCGGUAUCUUAUUUCGUUAGUUUGUUUAAAUCAAAUCCAGGAUAAGGUCGACUCAACCAAUGCUGAGGCUAUUGUGAUCUGUAAAUCCAGCAAUUUUAUCUGUCUGUUAAAUGGUGGAUGAUUUGAUAUCUGAUUGUCCUGAUAGGCGAGAACUUAUGUUCUUAUUACUUUUGCUGUAUCUUAUUUGGUAUUUUGUUUAAAUCAAAUCCAGGAUAAGGUCGACUCAACCAAAGCUGAGGCUAUUGUGAAGAAACUCCAAAUGGAUGGAAGAUAUCUCAGGGAUGUGUGGUGAUCAUAUUAAGGUCAGCACGUUUGGUCCCGUUUGUUUACUUUUAGCGAAGCUUGGCAAGGUCCUCCUCUCAGUUGCUUUGAGUUCCAGCAGCUAAAACGAUUAUUUCAGUCAGUAGCCAAGGUCUGGAUUCUCUACAGCAUCUAAGUUUUGUCUACUAAAUUGGUUAUUACUCUUUCGUUGGAGCAGAUUUAAAUAUCUUUAAAGUUCUGAUUAAUUUUUUAUAAGAGAUUCAGGACUGAUACAAAAAUUGUUAUAUGUAGUUAGUUAAAACGAUCCCAAAUCAUGUUGUAAUAUGUGCGGAAGACUUUUGUAAAAAUAACUGUAUAAAUGAAGGGCGGGUAGAAUAAAUGUGUUG